rnacentral:rRNA from 1 species
UACGUAGGGGGCGAGCGUUGUCCGGAUUCAUUGGGCGUAAAGCGCGCGUAGGCGGCCCCGCAAGUCGGCCGUGAAAUCUCCGGGCUCAACUCGGAGGGGUCGGGCGGGACUGCGAGGCUCGAGGUGGGCAGAGGGCAGUGGAAUUCCGGGUGUAGUGGUGGAAUGCGUAGAGAUCCGGAGGAACACCAGUGGCGAAGGCGACUUCCUGGCCUGUUCUUGACGCUGAGGCGCGAAAGCUAGGGGAGCAAACGGG